rnacentral:rRNA from 1 species
GACGAACGCUGGCGGCGUGCUUAACACAUGCAAGUCGAACGGAAAGGCCCUGCUUUUGUGGGGUGCUCGAGUGGCGAACGGGUGAGUAACACGUGAGUAACCUGCCCUUGACUUUGGGAUAACUUCAGGAAACUGGGGCUAAUACCGGAUAGGAGCUCCUGCUGCAUGGUGGGGGUUGGAAAGUUUCGGCGGUUGGGGAUGGACUCGCGGCUUAUCAGCUUGUUGGUGGGGUAGUGGCUUACCAAGGCUUUGACGGGUAGCCGGCCUGAGAGGGUGACCGGCCACCUUGGGACUGCGAUACGCCCCAGACUCCUACGGGAGGCAGCAGUGGGGAAUAUUGCACAAUGGGCGGAAGCCUGAUGCAGCAACGCCGCGUGCGGGAUGACGGCCUUCGGGUUGUAAACCGCUUUCGCCUGUGACGAAGCGUGAGUGACGGUAAUGGGUAAAGAAGCACCGGCUAACUACGUG